rnacentral:tRNA from 1 species
GCUUAGUUGGUUGAGUGUCUGACUCUUGAUUUCAGCUCAGGUCUUGAUUUCAGGGUUGUGAGUUUGAACCCCACACUGAGCU